CCGCUGCCACUGCCGGCGCUGCUGGUCUCGCCGCCGUCGCUGCCGUUGGACGAAGAUCUUGAUGAAGAGGAAGACGACGACGACGAUGAUGACGAUUGGCGGGCUCCAUCUCCUCCGAAGUUGUCCACGUCUUGCUCCGAGAAAUCCAUUUUCCCUAGCAGAAAAUCCCUGUUUGGAUUGUGGGAAAUUUUGUACCAAAUGCACUUGGGUGCUUGGAGCUCGAGCUUAUAUGUAUACUGGGUCAGUGGAAGAUGACUCGGAAUAAUGACUCGGUUUGGGUCUGGUGAGUCGGGGCCAAGUAAGUGAAGUAACCUAGGUGAGUGGACUCCAGGGUUAAUAUUUACGUUUUUUU
rnacentral:lncRNA from 1 species